rnacentral:rRNA from 1 species
AUGACUGACCUUGCUCACGAGCAUUUCACGCAGAUUUUCGGAUCGGAUAAUCACAGAACUGCUGCACUGAACUGGGAUGCAUUGGACCUAGAGCAUGUGGACCUUGCUGAUCUCGAGCAGGAGCUAUCGCUUGAGGAAGUUAAGCGUGCCGUGGAUGCAAUUCCGCCAGACAAGGCACCAGGGCCGGACGGUUUCUCGGGUGCCUUCUUCAAAAUCUGUUGGGACAUUAUCAAGCUUGAUUUGCUAGCGGCGCUGAAUCAGUUAUUUAGGAUGGAUAGCCGAGGUCUAAAUCGUGUCAAUCAUGCUAUACUCGUGCUCAUUCCCAAGAAAUUGGGUGCGGAUGCUCUGCAAGACUUUAGGCCGAUUUCGUUACUCCAUAGUGUGAUCAAAAUCUUCUCGAAGAUUCUGGCCUUGCGGCUCACCCCAAAGCUCAGUGCACUUGUUGAUCAGUGUCAAAGCGCUUUCAUAAAAAAGCGAAGCAUCCAGGAAAUUUUUCUACAUGUACAGAACACUGCCAAAAAAUUUCACAAGACCAAAAAACCUGCUAUCCUCCUCAAACUGGACAUUGCCAAAGCGUUUGACUCGGUCUGA